AUGGAAGCUACAAGGAGCUCAAGCCCUCCGCCUGGCCAAGUUCCGCUGCGCCAAGCCUGCUUCCUCUCCAGCAUCGCGCCCGUCGCUGCUGGCCCGUCGCUGUGCCGAUUCUCCUCUGCAACGAUCAACAGAACCCUCGCCGAAGCCGCCGCCCCUGAGCUCCACCCGCGCCGUCGUUGCCUGGAUCCGGCGCCGGUCAGCCGGAUCCGCACCGUCUGCACCUCGCCCGCCUUCCUGGGAGCCCGCUGCCGCUCGAGUCCGCGCUGCAUCCUCUUCUUCCUCGUGCUACGUCCUCUUCUUUCCCCUGCAUCGAGAGGAGCAGAGUGCCGCGUGCAGUCGUGUUGGCCGCAGCCUACUCUAGCGAGGCCCAGCGCGCCCCUUCGUGGCCUGCCCCGCCUCAUCCACCGAACUGGGCCAGGGCCAAAAGUGAGCAGCGCCCAACCCCCUCUCCUGUUCCUGUUGGGCCAGGAAGUUUCAGCCCAUAGUUUUUUUCCUGUUGCUGUGAAUUUAGCUAUUUUUCAUAGGAUUGCUAUUUUACAGAAAAGCCCUUGUUGA
rnacentral:rRNA from 1 species